UUAAUUUUAGUUUGAUUGAGUUCUUAUAAACUCUUUUGUAGCUUCUCAAAAGCUUUUGUUUCAGUUUUAUAUUAGAUUUAGUUCACAUACUUUAUGUUUUAAAACAUGAUUUCUCUUAAAAAAAACUAAUCUAAUAGAAACCCAAUUAAACCAAACCAAAACAUAAACUGAACCGAACUAUUUACGGUUCACUUCAGUUAGAAAAAUGUUAGAACCAAAUUAACC
rnacentral:lncRNA from 1 species